rnacentral:rRNA from 1 species
GACGAACGCUGGCGGCGUGCUUAACACAUGCAAGUCGAACGGCAAGGCCCUGCUUUCGUGGGGUGCUCGAGUGGCGAACGGGUGAGUAACACGUGAGUAACCUGCCCUUGACUUUGGGAUAACUUCAGGAAACUGGGGCUAAUACAGGAUAGGAGCUCCUGCUGCAUGGUGGGGGCUGGAAAGCUUCGGCGGUUGGGGAUGGACUCGCGGCUUAUCAGCUUGUUGGUGGGGUAGUGGCUUACCAAGGCUUUGACGGGUAGCCGGCCUGAGAGGGUGACCGGCCACAUUGGGACUGAGAUACGGCCCAGACUCCUACGGGAGGCAGCAGUGGGGAAUAUUGCACAAUGGGCGGAAGCCUGAUGCAGCAACGCCGCGUGCGGGAUGACGGCCUUCGGGUUGUAAACCGCUUUCGCCUGUGACGAAGCGUGAGUGACGGUAAUGGGUAAAGAAGCACCGGCUAACUACGUG